CGGGCGACGCGCCGGUCUAAGUCCCUUGGAACGGGGCGUCACAGAGGGUGAGAAUCCCGUAUGUGACCGGUGACCGAGCCCUGGUGAAACCCCUUCGACGAGUCGAGUUGUUUGGGAAUGCAGCUCAAAAUGGGUGGUAAAUUUCAUCUAAAGCUAAAUACCGGCCAGAGACCGAUAGCGCACAAGUAGAGUGAUCGAAAGAUGAAAAGCACUUUGGAAAGAGAGUCAAAAAGUACGUGAAAUUGUUGAAAGGGAAGCGCUUGCAACCAGACCUGUCCUCGGGUGAUCAGCCGUCCUUCGGGGCGGUGUACUCGCCCGCGAACAGGCCAGCAUCGGUUCGGGCGGUCGGAUAAAGGCCUUGGGAACGUGGCUCCUCUCGGGGAGUGUUAUAGCCCUCGGUGCAAUGCGGCCUGCCCGGACCGAGGACCGCGCUUCGGCUAGGAUGCUGGCGUAAUGGUUGUAAGCGGCCCGUCUUGAAACACGGACCAAGGAGUCGACCAACUAUGCGAGUGUUUGGGUGUCAAACCCACACGCGCAAUGAAAGUGAACGGAGGUGGGAACCCCUCGCGGGGCGCACCAUCGACCGAUCCAGAUGUCUUCGGAUGGAUUUGAGUACGAGCAUAGCNGGUCGGACCCGAAAGAUGGUGAACUAUGCCUGAAUAGGGUGAAGCCAGAGGAAACUCUGGUGGAGGCUCGCAGCGGUUCUGACGUGCAAAUCGAUCGUCAAAUUUGGGCAUAGGGGCGAAAGACUAAUC
rnacentral:rRNA from 1 species